rnacentral:rRNA from 1 species
AGUGAACGCUGGCGGUAGGCCUAACACAUGCAAGUCGAACGGCAGCACUGGAGAGCUUGCUCUCUGGGUGGCGAGUGGCGGACGGGUGAGGAAUACAUCGGAAUCUACUUUUUCGUGGGGGAUAACGUAGGGAAACUUACGCUAAUACCGCAUACGACCUACGGGUGAAAGCAGGGGACCUUCGGGCCUUGCGCGAUUGAAUGAGCCGAUGUCGGAUUAGCUAGUUGGCGGGGUAAAGGCCCACCAAGGCGACGAUCCGUAGCUGGUCUGAGAGGAUGAUCAGCCACACUGGAACUGAGACACGGUCCAGACUCCUACGGGAGGCAGCAGUGGGGAAUAUUGGACAAUGGGCGCAAGCCUGAUCCAGCCAUACCGCGUGGGUGAAGAAGGCCUUCGGGUUGUAAAGCCCUUUUGUUGGGAAAGAAAUCCAGCUGGCUAAUACCCGGUUGGGAUGACGGUACCCAAAGAAUAAGCACCGGCUAACUUCGUGCCAGCAGCCGCUGUAA